GACGAACGCUGGCGGCGUGCCUAAUACAUGCAAGUUGAGCGCUGAAGGUUGGUACUUGUACCGACUGGAUGAGCAGCGAACGGGUGAGUAACGCGUGGGGAAUCUGCCUUUGAGCGGGGGACAACAUUUGGAAACGAAUGCUAAUACCGCAUAAAAACUUUAAACACAAGUUUUAAGUUUGAAAGAUGCAAUUGCAUCACUCAAAGAUGAUCCCGCGUUGUAUUAGCUAGUUGGUGAGGUAAAGGCUCACCAAGGCGAUGAUACAUAGCCGACCUGAGAGGGUGGUCGGCCCCAUUGGGACUGAGACACGGCCCAAACUCCUACGGGAGGCAGCAGUAGGGGAUCUUCGGCAAUGGACGAAAGUCUGACCGAGCAACGCCGCGUGAGUGGAGAAGGGUUUCGGAUCGUAAAACUCUGUUGGUAGGGAAGAACGUUGGUGAGAGUGGAAAGCUCAUCAAGUGACGGUAACUACCCAGAAAGGGACGGCUAACUACGUG
rnacentral:rRNA from 1 species